AGUGAACGCUGGCGGUAGGCCUAACACAUGCAAGUCGAACGGCAGCACAGGAGAGCUUGCUCUCUGGGUGGCGAGUGGCGGACGGGUGAGGAAUACAUCGGAAUCUACUCUGUCGUGGGGGAUAACGUAGGGAGACUUACGCUAAUACCGCAUACGACCUACGGGUGAAAGCAGGGGAUCUUCGGACCUUGCGCGAUUGAAUGAGCCGAUGUCGGAUUAGCUAGUUGGCGGGGUAAAGGCCCACCAAGGCGACGAUCCGUAGCUGGUCUGAGAGGAUGAUAAGCCACACUGGAACUGAGACACGGUCCAGACUCCUACGGGAGGCAGCAGUGGGGAAUAUUGGACAAUGGGCGCAAGCCUGAUCCAGCCAUACCGCGUGGGUGAAGAAGGCCUUCGGGUUGUAAAGCCCUUUUGUUGGGAAAGAAAUCCAGCUGGCUAAUACCCGGUUGGGAUGACGGUACCCAAAGAAUAAGCACCGGCUAACUUCGUGCCAGCAGCCGCGGUAA
rnacentral:rRNA from 1 species